rnacentral:rRNA from 1 species
GACGAACGCUGGCGGCGUGCUUAACACAUGCAAGUCGAACGGAAAGGCCCUGCUUUUGUGGGGUGCUCGAGUGGCGAACGGGUGAGUAACACGUGAGUAACCUGCCCUUGACUUUGGGAUAACUUCAGGAAACUGGGGCUAAUACCGGAUAGGUGCUCCUGCUGCAUGGUGGGGGUUGGAAAGUUUCGGCGGUUGGGGAUGGACGCGCGGCUUAUCAGCUUGUUGGUGGGGUAGUGGCUUACCAAGGCUUUGACGGGUAGCCGGCCUGAGAGGGUGACCGGCCACAUUGGGACUGAGAUACGGACCAGACUCCUACGGGAGGCAGAAGUGGGGAAUAUUGCACAAUGGGCGGAAGCCUGAUGCAGCAACGCCGCGUGCGUGAUGACGGCCUUCGGGUUGUAAACCGCUUUCGCCUGUGACGAAGCGUGAGUGACGGUAAUGGGUAAAGAAGCACCGGCUAACUACGUG